GGUACUGGAGAGCGCAGGCAGAGGCAAGAGACCUGAGCUCUCCCCCGGGGCCUGUUGCUUGGUGACAUUCCUGCCUUGUUACAGCCCCUGGUCCCCCAAGAGCAUGAGUGGGAACGGAUUCUGCUAGGGGAUUGCAGAGGCCCAUUCAGGAGUCUUCCUGCGAUGGGAUGAUGUAAGCUGGGACAGUCCCUCAAGGACAUCGCAGGAAGUAGGAGAGUUGGUCUCGUUGGGGCCCCCAUUUCCCUAGGGUACUGCGGAGGAGGGAGAACACUGAAUUACUGUUAAGACACUGUUGAUAAGAUUCCAUGAAGCGGCACAAUAACCCGAAGCCUGUCGGUGAUGGAAAGACCUCGGAACAGUGCCAGCACCUUCUCAGUGGCUGUUGCACCUCACUGUCAUCAUGCUGA